GAUGAACGCUGGCGGCGUGCCUAAUACAUGCAAGUCGAGCGAACAGACGAGGAGCUUGCUCCUCUGACGUUAGCGGCGGACGGGUGAGUAACACGUGGAUAACCUACCUAUAAGACUGGGAUAACUUCGGGAAACCGGAGCUAAUACCGGAUAAUAUAUUGAACCGCAUGGUUCAAUAGUGAAAGACGGUUUUGCUGUCACUUAUAGAUGGAUCCGCGCCGCAUUAGCUAGUUGGUAAGGUAACGGCUUACCAAGGCAACGAUGCGUAGCCGACCUGAGAGGGUGAUCGGCCACACUGGAACUGGGGCACGGUCCAGACUCCUACGGGAGGCAGCAGUAGGGAAUCUUCCGCAAUGGGCGAAAGCUUGACGGAGCAACGCCGCGUGAGUGAUGAAGGUCUUCGGAUCGUAAAACUCUGUUAUUAGGGAAGAACAAAUGUGUAAGUAACUAUGCACGUCUUGACGGUACCUAAUCAGAAAGCCACGGCUAACUACGUG
rnacentral:rRNA from 1 species